rnacentral:rRNA from 1 species
UACGGAGGGUGCAAGCGUUAAUCGGAAUUACUGGGCGUAAAGCGUGCGUAGGCGGAUGAUUUAGUCAGAUGUGAAAGCCCCGGGCUUAACCUGGGAACUGCAUUUGAAACUGGUCAUCUAGAGUUUGGUAGAGGAAGGUAGAAUUCCUAGUGUAGCGGUGAAAUGCGUAGAUAUUAGGAGGAAUACCAGUGGCGAAGGCGGCCUUCUGGACCAAAACUGACGCUGAGGUACGAAAGCGUGGGGAGCAAACAGG